GCCAGUUUCAUUCAUUUCUUGAAAAGAUCGAUGCCUGGGUACAGUUAUUGUAUCUGGCAACAUAGGUACACCAGAAGAUUGUAACUGGUGGGGGCCAGAAGAAGAACAUUCAUUUGCCAACUCUACUUUCUUUCUGCAAACACUGCUUUGGUGGCCUAUCAUUUCUCGCACUGGUGAAGUGAAAUGACUUGAUGAAGGUUCUACCGUAAUCCAUUUGGGAAUUCUUCUUUCAUUAUCUUGUACUAUCACAUCUACUUGAACCUGUACUUUUUCUCGCGCUUUCACAUCAUCUAAAUCCAGAUUCUGGAAGUGAAUGUCUUCAAAUCUUCUUCUCACUGACACUAUCUCAGCAUCGCUUUCUUCACCUGCAGUUUGAUCUGCAGUCCUUUGACUUCUUGCAUGAUGCUCCUUGGUUGAUA
rnacentral:lncRNA from 1 species